rnacentral:rRNA from 1 species
UUUAUGGAGAGUUUGAUCCUGGCUCAGGAUGAACGCUGGCGGCGUGCCUAAUACAUGCAAGUCGAGCGAACGGAUGAGAAGCUUGCUUCUCUGAUGUUAGCGGCGGACGGGUGAGUAACACGUGGAUAACCUACCUAUAAGACUGGGAUAACUUCGGGAAACCGGAGCUAAUACCGGAUAAUAUUUUGAACCGCAUGGUUCAAAAGUGAAAGACGGUCUUGCUGUCACUUAUAGAUGGAUCCGCGCUGCAUUAGCU